rnacentral:rRNA from 1 species
UACGUAGGGUGCAAGCGUUGUCCGGAAUUAUUGGGCGUAAAGAGCUCGUAGGUGGUUUGUCGCGUCUGCUGUGAAAAUCCGAGGCUCAACCUCGGACUUGCAGUGGGUACGGGCAGACUAGAGUGUGGUAGGGGAGACUGGAAUUCCUGGUGUAGCGGUGGAAUGCGCAGAUAUCAGGAGGAACACCGAUGGCGAAGGCAGGUCUCUGGGCCAUUACUGACACUGAGAAGCGAAAGCAUGGGGAGUGAACAGG